UAAUUUGUUAGAGGCGUUUAGGUCCAAAAAAGAUUCAUAGCGUGUUCUGGAAGCAGCUGCACUACCCAUUGGAAGCUGCCACAAAACGUGAAAAGGGACACCGCAAAUUUCUCAGCUUUGGAAUCCAACUUUUGGAACGCAUAAAUUAGGGAACGCCUUGAACUCAAAAAGAACGCAACGCGAAGUUUCAUACGAUCCAAUCUAACCAUCUUUAAGACGAUUUUGGCUGAAGACUUUGAUUCAAUGGGUGAAGCAACGCCAUGUUCUUCUUCUUCUGUUAAUGGCAGCAGCAGCACCAUAAGUUCUGAAGCCCCAAAACCGAGGAAGAAAAUCUGCUGUGCUUGCCCUGAAACUAAGAGGCUCAGAGAUGAAUGCAUAGUUCAGCAUGGUGAAGACUCUUGUACAAAAUGGAUUGAAGCUCACCGUUUGUGUCUUCGUUCUGAGGGGUUCAAUGUUUGAUUGUGGUAAUUUUUAUCUUAAUUUUCUUUAAAAAGGGGACAUUUUGGAGGGAUAAUUGGUUUUGAAAUUACAUUAUUGUGUUUUGAAAUCUUAGUAUAAGGAAUAGAAUUCAUAGUUUCAUAAUUUAUUGUAAUGAAUCAGGAGGUUUUGUCCUGGUUAAUCUUCUUGCUGAGACUUUAAAUUGAAAUGACUAGUUGAUAUGUUCCACUUGUCAAA